rnacentral:lncRNA from 1 species
CCCCCCCCUCUCUCUCUCUCUUCCUUCCUUCCUUUCCAGUAUUUUAGGGCACCACUGUAGAGAAGAUUGUGAUAGCUUUGUUCAGCUGAUGGACACACUUGUUUGACAUAUAAGGUAGACAUUGAGAACGCCCAGGGAUUUCCCCUGCAUAAUCACCAACUGCUUGAAGUGGCAUUUUCCACUCUGACUUGCUGUUUGGUUUUGUUAGAUUGCAGCAUCCUGGAACGGAAUGAAAGGAUCUGUGCAGAGACGGCAAAAGUCGGGUUACAGUAGACCCUGAGCAAAACAGAGUGGACUCCAGCCUGCGUGGAUGAUCUUGAAACAGGAAUGGUUUGGGGUAAGUCACCCCACUGGGGUUGGCGUUUACCUGUUUUAAAUUCAUGUGGAGUAUUUAUUUGGUGUUCCGGGAUCGGUUAGUGAAUAAGAUGCAUAGCUAUUUUCCCCCCAUAGCUCAAGCAAUACGACUUCAGGGCAAGACACAUGUGGUUAGGAAAAAUGAAACAAAACCAACAAAUGAACCAACCAAAAAAAAAAAAAAACC